rnacentral:rRNA from 1 species
GACGAACGCUGGCGGCGUGCCUAACACAUGCAAGUCGAACGGAAGUAAGUGCUUCGGUAUUUACUUUAGUGGCGAACGGGUGAGUAACGCGUGAAUAACCUGCCUUUCAGUGGGGGACAACAGUCGGAAACGACUGCUAAUACCGCAUGACGCUUCUUGGGGGCAUCCCUGAGAAGUCAAAGCUUUAUGUGCUGAAAGAUGGAUUCGCGUCUGAUUAGCUAGUUGGCGGGGUAACGGCCCACCAAGGCGACGAUCAGUAGCCGGACUGAGAGGUUGAACGGCCACAUUGGGACUGAGACACGGCCCAG